rnacentral:tRNA from 1 species
GCUGGUUUAGCACACUGGAGAUGCAGUGCACUUGUAAUGCACCUAAGGCGGUUCGAUUCCGCCAACCAGCACCA